UUUUAAGUAAUCUCUGAAAGACCCCAAGAGUGGGGAGACCCUCACUCAAGUCUCGGGAUAAGCCGAUGCCCCAAUAAUUCAGGAGAGACC
rnacentral:pre_miRNA from 11 species